rnacentral:rRNA from 1 species
GUUGUUAAAGGUUUUAACCGGUCCUUCGGGAGUAGGCUUGCGUCUGAUUAGCUAGUUGGUGUGGUAACGGCACACCAAGGCUACGAUCAGUAACUGGUCUGAGAGGAUGAUCAGUCACACUGGAACUGAGACACGGUCCAGACUCCUACGGGAGGCAGCAGUGAGGAAUAUUGGGCAAUGCUCGAAAGAGUGACCCAGCAACGCCGCGUGGAGGAUGAAGGUAUUCUAUAUCGUAAACUCCUGUGAGAGCAGACGAAAGACAGAUUAUUAAUCUGGAUGACUGUAUGCUCAGAGGAAGCCCCGGCUAACUACGUG